rnacentral:rRNA from 1 species
CAGUAGCCGCGGGAAUACGAAGGGGGCUAGCGUUGUUCGGAUUUACUGGGCGUAAAGGGCGCGUAGGCGGACUGAUAAGUCAGGGGUGAAAUCCCAAGGCUCAACCUUGGAACUGCCUUUGAUACUGUUUGUCUUGAGUUCGAGAGAGGUAAGUGGAACUGCGAGUGUAGAGGUGAAAUUCGUAGAUAUUCGCAAGAACACCAGUGGCGAAGGCGGCUUACUGGCUCGAAACUGACGCUGAGGCGCGAAAGCGUGGGGAGCAAACAGGAUUAGAUACCCCAGUAGUCCCUGUCUCUUAUAC